rnacentral:rRNA from 1 species
UGCUCCCGGNUGUUAGCGGCGGACGGGUGAGUAACACGUGGGUAACCUGCCUGUAAGACUGGGAUAACUCCGGGAAACCGGAGCUAAUACCGGAUAGUUCCUUGAACCGCAUGGUUCAAGGAUGAAAGACGGUUUCGGCUGUCACUUACAGAUGGACCCGCGGCGCAUUAGCUAGUUGGUGGGGUAAUGGCUCACCAAGGCGACGAUGCGUAGCCGACCUGAGAGGGUGAUCGGCCACACUGGGACUGAGACACGGCCCAGACUCCUACGGGAGGCAGCAGUAGGGAAUCUUCCGCAAUGGACGAAAGUCUGACGGAGCAACGCCGCGUGAGUGAUGAAGGUUUUCGGAUCGUAAAGCUCUGUUGUUAGGGAAGAACAAGUGCGAGAGUAACUGCUCGCACCUUGACGGUACCUAACCAGAAAGCCACGGCUAACUACGUGCCAGCAGCCGCGGUAAUACGUAGGUGGCAAGCGUUGUCCGGAAUUAUUGGGCGUAAAGGGCUCGCAGGCGGUUUCUUAAGUCUGAUGUGAAAGCCCCCGGCUCAACCGGGGAGGGUCAUUGGAAACUGGGAAACUUGAGUGCAGAAGAGGAGAGUGGAAUUCCACGUGUAGCGGUGAAAUGCGUAGAGAUGUGGAGGAACACCAGUGGCGAAGGCGACUCUCUGGUCUGUAACUGACGCUGAGGAGCGAAAGCGUGGGGAGCGAACAGGAUUAGAUACCCUGGUAGUCCACGCCGUAAACGAUGAGUGCUAAGUGUUAGGGGGUUUCCGCCCCUUAGUGCUGCAGCUAACGCAUUAAGCACUCCGCCUGGGGAGUACGGUCGCAAGACUGAAACUCAAAGGAAUUGACGGGGGCCCGCACAAGC